rnacentral:rRNA from 1 species
AUUGAACGCUGGCGGCAGGCCUAACACAUGCAAGUCGAACGAGUGGCGGACGGGUGAGUAAUGUCUGGGAAACUGCCUGAAGGAGGGGGAUAACUACUGGAAACGGUAGCUAAUACCGCAUACCCUCAGAUGUGCCCAGAUGGGAUUAGCUUGUUGGGGGGGUAACGGCUCACCAAGGCGACGAUCACUAGCUGGUCUCUGAGGAUGACCGGCCACACUGGACCGGGGACACGGUCCAGACUCCUCCGGGAGGCAGCAGUGGGGAAUAUUGCACAAUGGGCGCAAGCCGGAUGCAGCCAUGCCGCGGGUAUGAAGAAGGCCUUCGGGUUGUAAAGUACGUUCAGCGGGGAGGCGGUACCCGCAGAAGAAGCACCGGCUAACUCCGUGCCAGCAGCCGCGGUAAUAC